rnacentral:rRNA from 1 species
CCGCGUGAGUGAAGAAGGUGUUUCGGAUGCGUAAGACUCUGUUGUAAGAGAAGAACGAGUGUGAGAGUGGAAAGUUCACACUGUGACGGUAUCUUACCAGAAAGGGACGGCUAACUACGUGCCAGCAGCCGCGGUAAUACGUAGGUCCCGAGCGUUAUCCGGAUUUAUUGGGCGUAAAGCGAGCGCAGGCGGUUAGAUAAGUCUGAAGUUAAAGGCUGUGGCUUAACCAUAGUACGCUUUGGAAACUGUUUAACUUGAGUGCAGAAGGGGAGAGUGGAAUUCCAUGUGUAGCGGUGAAAUGCGUAGAUAUAUGGAGGAACACCGGUGGCGAAAGCGGCUCUCUGGUCUGUAACUGACGCUGAGGCUCGAAAGCGUGGGGAGCAAACAGGAUUAGAUACCCUGGUAGUCCACGCCGUAAACGAUGAGUGCUAGGUGUGGGUCCUUUCCGGGACUCAGUGCCGCAGCUAACGCAUUAAGCACUCCGCCUGGGGAGUACGACCGCAAGGUUGAAACUCAAAGGAAUUGACGGGGCC